rnacentral:rRNA from 1 species
GACGAACGCUGGCGGCGGGCUUAACACAUGCAAGUCGAACGGAAAGGCCCUGCUUUUGUGGGGUUCUCGAGUGGCGAACGGGUGAGUAACACGUGAGUAACCUGCCCUGGACUUUGGGAUAACUUCAGGAAACUGGGGCUAAUACCUGCUAGGAGCUCCUGCUGCAUGGGGGGGUUUGGAAAUUUUCGGCGGAUGGGGCUGGAGUGUGGGCUUAUCAGCUUGUGGGUGGGGUAGUGGCUUACCAAGGCUUUGACGGAUAGCCGGCCUGAGAGGGUGACCGGGCACAUAGGGACUGCGAUACGGCGCAGACUCCAACGUGAGGCAGCAGUGGGGAAUAUUGCACAGUGGGCGGAAGCCUGAUGAAGCAACGCCGCGUGCGGGAUGACGGCCUUCGGGUUGUAAACCGCUUUAGCCUGUGACGAAGCGUGAGUGACGUUACUGGGUAAAGAAGCACCGGCUAACUACGUG